UACGUAGGGUGCAAGCGUUGUCCGGAAUUAUUGGGCGUAAAGAGCUCGUAGGCGGUCUGUCGCGUCGGCUGUGAAAACCCGGGGCUCAACUCCGGGCCUGCAGUCGAUACGGGCAGACUAGAGUGCGGUAGGGGAGACUGGAAUUCCUGGUGUAGCGGUGAAAUGCGCAGAUAUCAGGAGGAACACCGGUGGCGAAGGCGGUGGGCUGGGCCGGUACUGACGCUGAGGAGCGAAAGCGUGGGGAGCGAACAGG
rnacentral:rRNA from 1 species